ACUUAAAUUGAAGAGUUUGAUCAUGGCUCAGAUUGAACGCUGGCGGCAGGCCUAACACAUGCAAGUCGAGCGGUAGCACAGAGAGCUUGCUCUCGGGUGACGAGCGGCGGACGGGUGAGUAAUGUCUGGGAAACUGCCUGAUGGAGGGGGAUAACUACUGGAAA
rnacentral:rRNA from 1 species